UACAGAGGUCUCGAGCGUUAGGCGGAAUCACUGGGCUUAAAGCGUGUGUAGGUGGAUGCCUAAGUACCUUGUGAAAUCCCACGGCUUAACCGUGGAACUGCUUGGUAUACUGGGUGUCUUGAGUCACUCAGGGGCGAGCGGAACAAAUGGUGGAGCGGUGAAAUGCGUAGAUAUCAUUUGGAACGCCAAUGGUGAAAACAGCUCGCUGGGGGUGCACUGACACUGAGAGACGAAAGCUAGGGGAGCGAAUGGG
rnacentral:rRNA from 1 species